AACGCACAUUGCGCCCACUGGUAUUCCGGUGGGCAUGCCUGUUCGAGCGUCAUUAUCCUCUCUCCAACCCUCUGGGCUGGGCGUUGGACCAAGUUGGGGGCAACCGCAACUGGUCUCAAAGACAAUGACGGCGUCCGUGGGACCCUCUUCGCAACGAGUCUUUCGAGGCACGCGGGGAGUUGCAAGGUCCCGUCGGGUCGGUCUAACCUCAUAUUUUUCUCAGGUUGACCUCGGAUCAGGUAGGAAUACCCGCUGAACUUAA
rnacentral:misc_RNA from 1 species